rnacentral:rRNA from 1 species
UACGUAGGGUGCAAGCGUUGUCCGGAAUUAUUGGGCGUAAAGAGCUCGUAGGCGGUCUGUCGCGUCGGCUGUGAAAACCCGAGGCUCAACCUCGGGCCUGCAGUCGAUACGGGCAAACUGGAGUGUUGCAGGGGAGACUGGAAUUCCUGGUGUAGCGGUGAAAUGCGCGGAUAUCAGGAGGAACACCGGUGGCGAAGGCGGGUCUCUGGGCAACAACUGACGCUGAGGAGCGAAAGUGUGGGGAGCGAACAGG